rnacentral:rRNA from 1 species
CAACCUGCCUGUAAGACUGGGAUAACUUCGGGAAACCGGAGCUAAUACCGGAUAAUAUAAGGAACCUCCUGGUUCUUUAUUGAAAGAUGGUUUCGGCUAUCACUUACAGAUGGGCCCGCGGCGCAUUAGCUAGUUGGUGAGGUAACGGCUCACCAAGGCGACGAUGCGUAGCCGACCUGAGAGGGUGAUCGGCCACACUGGGACUGAGACACGGCCCAGACUCCUACGGGAGGCAGCAGUGG